AAGUCUUGAAUGGUUACAGCAUUGACAAAUUUGAGAAACUGAAGCCUAAGAUGAUACAAGCUGUUGAUGAUAUGCUUGGCUAUGAAAUCCCAGAGCUGUUGAAAAGUUUUAGGAAUCCUUAUGCAUAAAGUCCUAUCCUCCAGGACAUAUCUAGAAUCGAAAUAGAGCGGUGAGAUGAAGUUUGUUUGUUGCAAAAGUGCUAUGCUUAUGAUUCUUGAGUAAAUAUAUUUUAUGACAUUCUUGUUAAUAUACAUUUGGAGCUUUCUGUAUUUAGGGAUCUGCUUGGAUUUUAAGCAUGAUUGUCAGU
rnacentral:lncRNA from 1 species